GAUGAACGCUGGCGGCGUGCCUAAUACAUGCAAGUCGAGCGAACAGACGAGGAGCUUGCUCCUCUGACGUUAGCGGCGGACGGGUGAGUAACACGUGGAUAACCUACCUAUUAGACUGGGAUAACUUCGGGAAACCGGAGCUAAUACCGGAUAAUAUAUUGAACCGCAUGGUUCAAUAGUGAAUGACGGUUUUGCUGUCACUUAUAGAUGGAUCCGCGCCGCAUUAGCUAGUUGGUAAGGUAACGGCUUACCAAGGCAACGAUGCGUAGCCGACCUGAGAGGGUGAUCGGCCACACUGGAACUGAGACACGGUCCAGACUCCUACGGGAGGCAGCAGUAGGGAAUCUUCCGCAAUGGGCGAAAGCCUGACGGAGCAACGCCGCGUGAGUGAUGAAGGUCUUCGGAUCGUAAAACUCUGUUAUUAGGGAAGAACAAAUGUGUAAGUAACUAUGCACGUCUUGACGGUACCUAAUCAGAAAGCCACGGCUAACUACGUG
rnacentral:rRNA from 1 species